rnacentral:rRNA from 1 species
GAACCUGAAACCGUGUACGUACAAGCAGUGGGAGCCUCUUAAUGGGGUGACUGCGUACCUUUUGUAUAAUGGGUCAGCGACUUAUAUUCUGUAGCAAGGUUAACCGAAUAGGGGAGCCGAAGGGAAACCGAGUCUUAACUGGGCGUUAAGUUGCAGGGUAUAGACCCGAAACCCGGUGAUCUAGCCAUGGGCAGGUUGAAGGUUGGGUAACACUAACUGGAGGACCGAACCGACUAAUGUUGAAAAAUUAGCGGAUGACUUGUGGCUGGGGGUGAAAGGCCAAUCAAACCGGGAGAUAGCUGGUUCUCCCCGAAAGCUAUUUAGGUAGCGCCUCGUGAAUUCAUCUCCGGGGGUAGAGCACUGUUUCGGCAAGGGGGUCAUCCCGACUUACCAACCCGAUGCAAACUGCGAAUACCGGAGAAUGUUAUCACGGGAGACACACGGCGGGUGCUAACGUCCGUCGUGAAGAGGGAAACAACCCAGACCGCCAGCUAAGGUCCCAAAGUCAUGGUUAAGUGGGAAACGAUGUGGGAAGGCCCAGACAGCCAGGAUGUUGGCUUAGAAGCAGCCAUCAUUUAAAGAAAGCGUAAUAGCUCACUGGUCGAGUCGGCCUGCGCGGAAGAUGUAACGGGGCUAAACCAUGCACCGAAGCUGCGGCAGCGACACUAUGUGUUGUUGGGUAGGGGAGCGUUCUGUAAGCCUGUGAAGGUGUACUGUGAGGUAUGCUGGAGGUAUCAGAAGUGCGAAUGCUGACAUAAGUAACGAUAAAGCGGGUGAAAAGCCCGCUCGCCGGAAGACCAAGGGUUCCUGUCCAACGUUAAUCGGGGCAGGGUGAGUCGACCCCUAAGGCGAGGCCGAAAGGCGUAGUCGAUGGGAAACAGGUUAAUAUUCCUGUACUUGGUGUUACUGCGAAGGGGGGACGGAGAAGGCUAUGUUGGCCGGGCGACGGUUGUCCCGGUUUAAGCGUGUAGGCUGGUUUUCCAGGCAAAUCCGGAAAAUCAAGGCUGAGGCGUGAUGACGAGGCACUACGGUGCUGAAGCGACAAAUGCCCUGCUUCCAGGAAAAGCCUCUAAGCAUCAGGUAACAUCAAAUCGUACCCCAAACCGACACAGGUGGUCAGGUAGAGAAUACCAAGGCGCUUGAGAGAACUCGGGUGAAGGAACUAGGCAAAAUGGUGCCGUAACUUCGGGAGAAGGCACGCUGAUAUGUAGGUGAAGCGACUUGCUCGUGGAGCUGAAAUCAGUCGAAGAUACCAGCUGGCUGCAACUGUUUAUUAAAAACACAGCACUGUGCAAACACGAAAGUGGACGUAUACGGUGUGACGCCUGCCCGGUGCCGGAAGGUUAAUUGAUGGGGUUAGCGGUAACGCGAAGCUCUUGAUCGAAGCCCCGGUAAACGGCGGCCGUAACUAUAACGGUCCUAAGGUAGCGAAAUUCCUUGUCGGGUAAGUUCCGACCUGCACGAAUGGCGUAAUGAUGGCCAGGCUGUCUCCACCCGAGACUCAGUGAAAUUGAACUCGCUGUGAAGAUGCAGUGUACCCGCGGCAAGACGGAAAGACCCCGUGAACCUUUACUAUAGCUUGACACUGAACAUUGAGCCUUGAUGUGUAGGAUAGGUGGGAGGCUUUGAAGUGUGGACGCCAGUCUGCAUGGAGCCGACCUUGAAAUACCACCCUUUAAUGUUUGAUGUUCUAACGUGGGCCCCUUACCGGGGUUGCGGACAGUGUCUGGUGGGUAGUUUGACUGGGGCGGUCUCCUCCUAAAGAGUAACGGAGGAGCACGAAGGUUGGCUAAUCCUGGUCGGACAUCAGGAGGUUAGUGCAAUGGCAUAAGCCAGCUUGACUGCGAGCGUGACGGCGCGAGCAGGUGCGAAAGCAGGUCAUAGUGAUCCGGUGGUUCUGAAUGGAAGGGCCAUCGCUCAACGGAUAAAAGGUACUCCGGGGAUAACAGGCUGAUACCGCCCAAGAGUUCAUAUCGACGGCGGUGUUUGGCACCUCGAUGUCGGCUCAUCACAUCCUGGGGCUGAAGUAGGUCCCAAGGGUAUGGCUGUUCGCCAUUUAAAGUGGUACGCGAGCUGGGUUUAGAACGUCGUGAGACAGUUCGGUCCCUAUCUGCCGUGGGCGCUGGAGAACUGAGGGGGGCUGCUCCUAGUACGAGAGGACCGGAGUGGACGCAUCACUGGUGUUCGGGUUGUCAUGCCAAUGGCACUGCCCGGUAGCUAAAUGCGGAAGAGAUAAGUGCUGAAAGCAUCUAAGCACGAAACUUGCCCCGAGAUGAGUUCUCCCUGACUCCUUGAGAGUCCUGAAGGAACGUUGAAGACGACGACGUUGAUAGGCCGGGUGUGUAAGCGCAGCGAUGCGUUGAGCUAACCGGUACUAAUGAACCGUGAGGCUUAACCUUACAACGCCGAAG